AGCCUCGCGUUGCGAUUACAAUAGGCCGCUCGGGUAACUUGGGUCUAAAGCAGAUCUAAAUCUAAAUGAAGCCUGAACUGGGUGUGAGCCAUGUCAAAGCCAGACGAGGCGAGAGCACGUACUGGUCAGGGGCAGGGCAGGUCAGGUUACAUAUUUUUAAGUGAAUCCCAAUAUUCCAAGUCACAUGACCCGAGAAUAAACAAGCUCAACAAGCAGCAGAGUGUCAUUCAGUGUGAGUGUUAAGAGAGUCAUAGUAGCAUCAGUAAAAGUACAAAUAUGAAGCUGGUGUUUUGUGUCUCCUUUGUGAGCGCUUUUCUCUGUGGGGGAAAAGCAUGGACCACUACUACACCCACUACUACUACUACAACUGAGAUGAGUACUACUAGGACUACUACUACCACACCGACCUAUCACUACAAUGUCACGUCAGCUGAUCCAGGAAGCAGUCUCAAAGGGAAGAUGAUUACUCUGUCUCAGUCCUCGGGAGUGACUUUUUACCCACCGAACUACAUCCAUAUGGUAUCGAAACCAACAACGACAGGUAUGAUCUGGGAGGAGGAUGGCUUUGAUUGUAAAUAAAUACUGCAAAAACUACAAGUCGUACAUAUGGCCCCCUUAAGUAAUAGCAGGAAUGACAGUGAAUAUGCUCACAAGAAGAUGCUGCUUGUGCUCCCCCUGCAGGUGUGUCGGUGUGCCUGCGCUUCUUGGCCGACUCCAGCUCUAUAAACCUCUUCACUCUGGCUCCUGAGUCUGCUGAUGCCCUGUCCCUCUCUUUGACCAACCAAUGGUACACUCUGAGCUGGAACCGUUAUUACCGUUACCAGGUCUCUCUGAACCCCACGGUCCCGCUCUGGUCCUCGGUUCGGACUCAGCCCUGGACCAGUGUCUGUGUGGUCGCGGACUUUCUCAAAAAUGUGGUUCAGGUCUUCCAGGACGGAUCAAUGAGCAUCAGGAAGAGACCGCGAUCCAGGGUGAGUCAAAUUCGGCAACAAAUGAUAAAGUGAUUUACUAUGAUUUUUCAAUGUUCCAGAAAGGCA
rnacentral:lncRNA from 1 species